rnacentral:rRNA from 1 species
UUCAGAGGUCCCAAGCGUUGUUCGGAUUCACUGGGCGUAAAGGGUGCGUAGGUGGUGAGGUAAGUCGGAUGUGAAAGCUCGGAGCUCAACUCCGAAAUGGCAUUGGAAACUACCUUGCUCGAGGGUUGGAGGGGGGACUGGAAUUCUCGGUGUAGCAGUGAAAUGCGUAGAUAUCGAGAGGAACACCAGUGGCGAAGGCGAGUCCCUGGACAACUCCUGACACUGAGGCACGAAAGCUAGGGGAGCAAACAGG